rnacentral:rRNA from 1 species
UUGGAGGGCAAGUUUGGUGCCAGCAGCCGCGGUAAUUCCAGCUUCAAUAGCGUAUAUUAAAGUUGUUGCAGUUAAAAAGCUUGUAGUUGAAUUUCGGGAUUAGCAGGUCGGUCGUGCCACUGGUACGUACUGGUCUUGCUGAUUCCUCCCUCUUGACGAGCCGUAGAUGCCAUUAAUUUGGUGUUGGGGGAAAUCAGGACGGUUACUUUGAAAAAAUUAAAGGGUUUAAAGCAGG